rnacentral:rRNA from 1 species
CACGUAGGGGGCGAGCGUUGUUCGGAUUCAUUGGGCGUAAAGGGUGCGUAGGCGGCGCGGUAAGUCGGGUGUGAAAUCUCGGAGCUUAACUCCGAAACUGCAUUCGAUACUGCCGUGCUUGAGGACUGGAGAGGAGACUGGAAUUUACGGUGUAGCGGUGAAAUGCGUAGAUAUCGUAAGGAAGACCAGUGGCGAAGGCGGGUCUCUGGGCCGAUACUGACGCUGAGGAGCGAAAGCGUGGGGAGCGAACAGG